AACACAUGCAAGUCNAGGGGCAGCAUGGUCUUAGCUUGCUAAGGCUGAUGGCGACCGGCGCACGGGUGAGUAACGCGUAUCCAACCUGCCCCUGUCUCACGGAUAGCCCGGUGAAAAAUCGGAUUAAUACGUGAUGCAGUCAAAAUCUGUCCUCAGUUUUUGACUAAAGGUUUACCGGACAGGGAUGGGGAUGCGUCCGAUUAGGUAGACGGCGGGGUAACGGCCCACCGUGCCUUCGAUCGGUAGGGGUUCUGAGAGGAAGGUCCCCCACACUGGAACUGAGACACGGUCCAGACUCCUACGGGAGGCAGCAGUGAGGAAUAUUGGUCAAUGGACGAGAGUCUGAACCAGCCAAGUAGCGUGCAGGAUGACGGCCCUAUGGGUUGUAAACUGCUUUUUCGCGGGGAUGACAUGCUCCACGUGUGGGGUAUUGCAGGUACCGCGUGAAUAAGGACCGGCUAAUUCCGUGCCAGCAGCCGCGGUAAUACGGAAGGUCCGGGCGUUAUCCGGAUUUAUUGGGUUUAAAGGGGAGCGUAGGCCGACGGUUAAGCGUGUUGUGAAAUGCGGGUGCUCAACGUCCGCACUGCAGCGCGAACUGUCCGUCUUGAGUGUGCAGAAAGUCGGCGGAAUUCGUGGUGUAGCGGUGAAAUGCUUAGAUAU
rnacentral:rRNA from 1 species